GAUGAACGCUGGCGGCGUGCCUAAUACAUGCAAGUCGAACGCUGGAAAUCUAGCUUGCUAGCUUGAAGGAGUGGCGAACGGGUGAGUAAUACAUAAGCAACCUACCCACGAAGACUGGGAUAAUCUCUGGAAACGGGGACUAAUACCGGAUAGGUAAUCGGAAGGCAUCUUCUGAUUAUUAAAGGUUAAAAACACUGGUGGAUGGGCUUAUGGCGCAUUAGUUAGUUGGUGAGGUAACGGCCCACCAAGACGAUGAUGCGUAGCCGGCCUGAGAGGGUGAACGGCCACAUUGGGACUGAGACACGGCCCAGACUCCUACGGGAGGCAGCAGUAGGGAAUUUUCGGCAAUGGGGGAAACCCUGACCGAGCAACGCCGCGUGAGUGAUGACGGCCUUCGGGGUGUAAAGCUCUGUUGUAAGGGAAGAACGGUAGAUAGAGAAUAUCUAAAUGACGGUACCUUACCAGAAAGCCACGGCUAACUACGUG
rnacentral:rRNA from 1 species